AUACGGAGGGUGCAAGCGUUGUUCGGAAUUACUGGGCGUAAAGCGCGUGCAGGCGGUAAGGUAAGUCAGAUGUGAAAGCCCCGGGCUCAACCCGGGAAGUGCAUUUGAUACUGCCUUUCUUGAGUAUGGGAGAGGAGAGUGGAAUUCCCGGUGUAGAGGUGAAAUUCGUAGAUAUUGGGAGGAACACCCGUGGCGAAGGCGACUCUCUGGACCAAUACUGACGCUGAGACGCGAAAGCGUGGGGGGCGAACAGGAUUAGAAACCCUAGUAGUCC
rnacentral:rRNA from 1 species